rnacentral:miRNA from 1 species
ACCCACGUAUUCGAUCUUGCG